GACGAAUGCUGGCUGCGUGCUUAACACAUGCAAGUCGAACGGUGAAGGAGGGCUUGCCCUCCGGAUCAGUGGCGAACGGGUGAGUAACACGUGGGCAACCUGCCCCUCACUCUGGGAUAACGCCGGGAAACCGGCGCUAAUACCGGAUACGACCAGGCGCGACAUCUCGCCUGGUGGAAAGAAUUUCGGUGAGGGAUGGGCCCGCGGCCUAUCAGCUAGUUGGUGGGGUAACGGCCCACCCAGGCGACGACGGGUAACCGGCCUGAGUGGGCGAACGGCCACACUGGGACUGGGACACGGCCCAGACUCCUACGGGAGGCAGCAGUGGGGAAUGUUGCGCAAUGGGCGAAAGCCUGACGCAGCGACGCAGCGUGAGGGACGAAGGCCUUCGGGUUGUAAACCUCUUUCAGCGGGGACGAAGCGAAAGUGACGGUACCCGCAGAAGAAGCACCGGCUAACUACGUGCCAGCCGCCGCCGUAAAAC
rnacentral:rRNA from 1 species